rnacentral:rRNA from 1 species
UACGUAGGGUGCAAGCGUUAAUCGGAAUUACUGGGCGUAAAGCGUGCGCAGGCGGUGAUGUAAGACAGGUGUGAAAUCCCCGGGCUUAACCUGGGAACUGCAUUUGUGACUGCAUCGCUGGAGUGCGGCAGAGGGGGAUGGAAUUCCGCGUGUAGCAGUGAAAUGCGUAGAUAUGCGGAGGAACACCGAUGGCGAAGGCAAUCCCCCUGGACCUGUACUGACGCUCAUGCACGAAAGCGUGGGGAGCAAACAGG